rnacentral:rRNA from 1 species
GUGAGGAAUAUUGCGCAAUGGAGGCAACUCUGACGCAGCCAUGCCGCGUGCAGGAAGAAGGCGCUACGCGUUGUAAACUGCUUUUAACCGGGAAGAAACCCCAGGACGUGUCCUGGGUUGACGGUACCGGAGGAAUGAGCACCGGCUAACUUCGUGCCAGCAGCCGCGGUAAUACGAAGGGUGCAAGCGUUAUCCGGAUUCAUUGGGUUUAAAGGGUGCGUAGGCGGAGCGUUAAGUCAGUGGUGAAAUCCUGCAGCUUAACUGUAGACUUGCCAUUGAUACUGGCGCUCUUGAGUGCGCUUGAAGUGGGCGGAAUGUGCCGUGUAGCGGUGAAAUGCUUAGAUAUGGCACAGAACACCAAUUGCGAAGGCAGCUCACUAAGGCGAUACUGACGCUGAGGCACGAAAGCGUGGGGAUCGAACAGGAUUAGAUACCCGAGUAGUCC